GACCAGAUGACAUUUUUUAUUAUGCAUUUGCAUUAUUUCACAUCUUCAGAAUAACAAUACUAAUACAACCACUGCCAAAACUGCUGAAGUAGUUUAGCAUAUAUCUAUACUCUUUCUUUUUUAACUCUCAUUUUGUUUUAGUUCUACAAGUUUAAUGUAGAUAAUGUAAAUAAACAUUUGCUGAUACUUUUUGUCAGAGUCAAGAAAACUUUCUCUUCUUUUAAGCUAUUUAUAGCUUUUAAAAAUUGAGCAAAGUAUACUCUAAUGAGCAAGAUUUAAAACAUAAUUUCUUUCUACCUAAUUUCUCCAAAAUUUGGAAACUGUUUGUCAGUAUUCUUAACUUAUGGCAAUAUAGUUAUUUGCAUAAGUUCAAUAAGAAUUUAUUUCAUAACCAGACACAACUGGAGACAUGGUUAUUUUAUGAAGCUUUUGACUGGAAUGACAUAGUUUCAGAUGGCCUUGAGAAAAUGAGGCUGACUUAUGGAAUUGAUAAGAGCCCCUUGGAAGACCAGAUGACAUUUUUUAUUAUGCGUUUGCAUUAUUUCACAUCUUCAGAAUAACAAUACUAAUACAACCACUGCCAAAACUACUGAAAUAGUUUAGCAUAUACCUAUACUCUUUCUUUUUUAACUCUCAUUUUGUUUUAGUUCUACAAGUUUAAUGUUCUCCAAUCCUUUUAUUGAUGACUUUCUAGUCUUUCUGGUUGUUUAAAGCUUGUUCUUUUGUAGAUUACUUAGGAAAGGCUUUGGAAAACAAUAUUUCCCAAGUUUUUGCAUUCUAUAUUGGUUUAUGCCUUUAUAUUCACCAUUAAGUUUUGUUGGGUGUAAAAUCCUUGGCUCACAUUUUUUUCCAUCAGGAUAUCAAAUGUGGUACAACACUUUCUUAAAGCAUAAGGCAAUGCUGUUGAAAAGUCUGGUGAUGAUCUAAUUUUCUUUCCCUUUUAAGUAAUUAGUUUUUGUUUAGAUAACUAAAGGCAUUUACUUUUCAUGGUUCAGU
rnacentral:lncRNA from 1 species